rnacentral:rRNA from 1 species
AUUGAACGCUGGCGGCAGGCUUAACACAUGCAAGUCGAACGGACUACUUCGGUAGUUAGUGGCGAACGGGUGAGUAAUGCCUAGGAAUCUGCCGUUUAAUGGGGGAUAACUGACCGAAAGGUCUGCUACUACCGCAUACGCCCUACGGGGGAAAGCAGGGGAUCUUCGGACCUUGCGUUAAACGAUGAGCCUAGGUCGGAUUAGCUAGUUGGUGAGGUAAAGGCUCACCAAGGCGACGAUCUGUGGCGGGUCUGAGAGGAUGAUCCGCCACACUGGAACUGAGACACGGUCCAGACUCCUACGGGAGGCAGCAGUGGGGAAUAUUGGACAAUGGGGGAAACCCUGAUCCAGCCAUGCCGCGUGUGUGAAGAAGGCCUUUUGGUUGUAAAGCACUUUAAGCGAGGAGGAGGCUUUGUUGGUUAAUACCCUUCAAAGUGGACGUUACUCGCAGAAUAAGCACCGGCUAACUCUGUGCCAGCAGCCGCCGUAA